rnacentral:rRNA from 1 species
GAUGAACGCUAGCGGCAGGCCUAACACAUGCAAGUCGAGGGGGAAGUUACUUUCGGGUGUCUGAGACCGGCGUACGGGUGCGUAACGCGUAUACAAUCUGCCUUUCACUGGGGGAUAGCCCGAAGAAAUUUGGAUUAAUACCCCAUAGUAUAUAGGGACGGCAUCGUUUUUAUAUUAAAGCUUAGGUGGUGAAAGAUGAGUAUGCGUUCUAUUAGCUAGUUGGAGAGGUAACGGCUCCCCAAGGCGAUGAUAGAUAGGGGUUCUGAGAGGGAUGUCCCCCAGACUGGUACUGAGAUACGGACCAGAAUCCUACGGGAGGCAGCAGUGAGGAAUAGUGGACAAUGGUCGGAAGACGGAUACAGCCAUGCCGCGUGCAGGAGGAAGGUCUUAUGGAUUGUAAACUGCUUUUGUAAGGGAAGAAUAAGGGCUACGCGUAGUUUGAUGACGGUACCUUACGAAUAAGCAUCGGCUAACUCCGUG